CGCGAAACCUUCGCAAUGUGCUCACGCACGACGAGGGGAUCCGAAGUGCUACAGCACUGCUGUAGCUUUUGCCGAGUCCAAACAGCUCGGCGAAUAAGGGGUGGGUAAGACAGGUGCCAGCCGCCGCGGUAAUACCUGCGCCCCAAGUGGUAUCCAGUAUUAUUGGGCCUAAAGCGUCCGUAGCCGGUCUGGCAAGUCUUCGGUGAAAUUCACUAGUAAACUAGUGAGCGCGUCGGAGAUACUGCCAGACUUGGGACCGGGAGAGGGUAGGGGUACUCCUAGGGGAGGGGUAAAAUCCUAUAAUCCUAGGGGGACCACCGGUGGCGAAGGCGCCUACCUAGAACGGUUCCGACGGUGAGGAACGAAAGCUAGGGGAGCGAUCGGGAUUAGAUACCCCGGUAGUCCUAGCUGUAAACGAUGCCCGCUUGGUGUUGCAAUCUUCUCGUGAGAUUGCAGUGCCGGAAUGUAGAUGUUAAGCGGGCCGCCUGGGGAGUACGGCCGCAAGGUUGAAACUUAAGGGAAUUGGCGGGGGAGCACACAAGGGGUGGAGGCUGCGGUUCAAUUGGAUCCAACGCCGGAAAUCUUACGGGGAUCGACAGCAGAAUGAAGGUCAGUCUAAAGGGCUUACCUGACAAGCUGAGAGGUAUUGCAUGGCCAUCGUCAGUUCGUACCGUGAGGCGUGCGGUUAAGUCCGUUAACGAACGAGACCCGCGCCCCAUGUUGCUACUCUGCAAAGAGGCACUCAUGGGGGACCGCUGGUGAUAAACCAGAGGAAGGUGCGGGCGACGGUAGGUCAGUAUGGUCCGAAUUUCCCCGGCUACACGCGGCCUACAAUGUCUGAGACAAUGGGAUGCAACCCCGUGAGGGGAAGCCAACCCCCUAAACUCAGACCUAGUACAGAUCGAGGGUUGUAACUCACCCUCGUGAAGCUGGAAUCCCUAGUAAACGAACGUCACUAUCGUUCGUUGAAUCC
rnacentral:rRNA from 1 species